rnacentral:misc_RNA from 1 species
AACAUCGCGCACCUGCGGGAACCUGCGGAAGGAUCAUUACAGAGUUGCAAAACUCCCUAAACCAUUGUGAACGUUACCUAAACCGUUGCUUCGGCGGGCGGCCCGGGUCCUUCCCGGCGCCCAUCGGCCCUCGCGGGCGCCCGCCGGAGGUAAACCAAACUAUUGCAUUGUAUGGCCUCUCUGAGUCUUCUGUACUGGAUAAGUCAAAACUUUUAGCAACGGAUCUCAGAUCGGAAGAGC